GAUGAACGCUGGCGGCGUGCCUAAUACAUGCAAGUCGAGCGAACGGACGAGAAGCUUGCUUCUCUGAUGUUAGCGGCGGACGGGUGAGUAACACGUGGAUAACCUACCUAUAAGACUGGGAUAACUUCGGGAAACCGGAGCUAAUACCGGAUAAUAUUUUGAACCGCAUGGUUCAAAAGUAAAAGACGGUCUUGCUGUCACUUAUAGAUGGAUCCGCGCUGCAUUAGCUAGUUGGUAAGGUAACGGCUUACCAAGGCAACGAUGCAUAGCCGACCUGAGAGGGUGAUCGGCCACACUGGAACUGAGACACGGUCCAGACUCCUACGGGAGGCAGCAGUAGGGAAUCUUCCGAAAUGGGCGAAAGCCUGACGGAGCAACGCCGCGUGAGUGAUGAAGGUCUUCGGAUCGUAAAACUCUGUUAUUAGGGAAGAACAUAUGUGUAAGUAACUGUGCACAUCUUGACGGUACCUAAUCAGAAAGCCACGGCUAACUACGUG
rnacentral:rRNA from 1 species